AUUUCGAACCGCAGGGUUCGAUAGUGAAAGAUGGCUUUGCUAUCACUUAUAGAUGGACCUGCGCCGUAUUAGCUAGUUGGUAAGGUAACGGCUUACCAAGGCAACGAUACGUAGCCGACCUGAGAGGGUGAUCGGCCACACCGGAACUGAGACACGGUCCAGACUCCUACGGGAGGCAGCAGUAGGGAAUCUUCCGCAAUGGGCGAAAGCCUGACGGAGCAACGCCGCGUGAGUGAUGAAGGUCUUCGGAUCGUAAAACUCUGUUAUUAGGGAAGAACAAACGUGUAAGUAACUGUGCACGUCUUGACGGUACCUAAUCAGAAAGCCACGGCUAACUACGUGCCAGCAGCCGCGGUAAUACGUAGGUGGCAAGCGUUAUCCGGAAUUAUUGGGCGUAAAGCGCGCGUAGGCGGUUUUUUAAGUCUGAUGUGAAAGCCCACGGCUCAACCGUGGAGGGUCAUUGGAAACUGGAAAACUUGAGUGCAGAAGAGGAAAGUGGAAUUCCAUGUGUAGCGGUGAAAUGCGCAGAGAUAUGGAGGAACACCAGUGGCGAAGGCGACUUUCUGGUCUGUAACUGACGCUGAUGUGCGAAAGCGUGGGGAUCAAACGGGAUUAGAUACCCUGGUAGUCCACGCCGUAAACGCAUGAGUGCUAAGUGUUUAGGGGGUUUCCGCCCCUUAGUGCUGCAGCUAACGCAUUAAGCACUCCGCCUGGGGAGUUAGACCGCAAGGUUGAAACUCACCGGAAUCGAUGGGGACCCGCAC
rnacentral:rRNA from 1 species